CUGGCUUGGUGGCGCACUUGGACAAGUUCUUGGUGGGCUCACGUGUAUUUCUAAGUUUAGAUACUCACACACCUAGCCCGCCAACUUGAGCGGGCUUUUUAUU
rfam:Vibrio cholerae O1 biovar eltor str. N16961 chromosome I, complete sequence.